ACCACUCCAAGGAUUACGUAGUUUGAAUUCUAGAAAUUUCAUUUCAAUGUUGCUUUGUUUGAAAUUUAAAAUCAACUUUUUAGACUGGAAAGUUGAUGGUUUCUCUAUGCUAAAUUUGUUGUAGUAGCAUGCUUAUUGUUCUAUUUUUUGUGUAAGACUAGAGGGACUCUCUUGUUCUAUCAAUUUAUUUUUCAAGAAAAUAGUGUUGCUUGAGUUGGUUUGACAGAAACUUCACGUUGUCUCAAUCAAAAUUGAUUUUUGAGUGAACCCUUAUUAGUUGUCAUCAAAAUCUUCCUUAUAUAUACUGGCGGGUCAUGGAAAGCUUUCCAAAAAAAGAUCCAGUUGUUGUUUUUGUUACUGCUACGUAUGAUGUCAAGUCUAACUCUAAAUAAUUCUACCCUCAUGAAAGAGUUUAAAAUUUCCUUUCUAGUUUUUGUUUUGUUUGUCGACCAUAUUUGGUCUCAGUUUUAUACAAAGAAAGGUAUUAAUAUUGUAAUGAUAUCAUGAAAUUUAGUUGUUUAAAAUAUGUGUUAUGAACAGAUAUAUUGUCUAAUUUAGGGACAUAUCAGUUAUGGAAAACAUGAUUGUAGUUGUACUAGAGGAAAUAUGUUGUUAUAUUAGCAAUGAUUACUAAUCUUUCUGCUAUAGUGUCCUGAUUUAUUUUUAUUAGGAAUGAUUACUAAACUUUCUCCUAUAGUGGUGCUAACUAUACUUUAACUUGGUAUGAUUAUUCUAAUACUACUAUGGCAAUCAAUACAUUGAUAUGGAAGAAGAAAAGUUUCACCUUUAGUAACAUUUUUAACAUUGUGCUUAUAAUGGCUGACAUUCAAGUAUUGCAUGCCCAUCUCCUCACAUCGUAGUUUGGGUCUCUUGUGAUGAGUUUUUCUUUGUAUUACUUUUCAAGAUGGAUUGUCCUUCAUGUGUUCUAAAUGGAAAUAUGUCAUCAUUUAAGUGAUGAUUGAGAUUAUUUAUUCUCUUUUUGUAGGUGUCCAAAAUGAAGAAGGAGAUGGAGAAAGAAGUGAUGAAGACAUUGACCUUGCUUGAAAAGAUUUUUAAAUUGUUGAAAGAUGUUUUAAUAAUGAUCUUUUUUAUAUUGAAUUUCUUGAAACUU
rnacentral:lncRNA from 1 species